rnacentral:tRNA from 1 species
GGAGAAAUAGCGAAGUGGUCAUAACGCGGCGGUCUUGAAAACCGUUUGGGUGCAAGCCCACGGGGGUUCGAAUCCCUCUUUCUCCGCCA